UGGGUUGUGGCUCAGCGGUAGAGCGCUUGACUCUCACGUAAGAGACACUGGGUUCGACCCCAGUAUCACAU
rnacentral:tRNA from 1 species